rfam:Pan troglodytes isolate Yerkes chimp pedigree #C0471 (Clint) chromosome 6, whole genome shotgun sequence.
GCUGGGCAUGGUGGCUCACGCCUGUAAUCCCAGCACUUUUGGAGGCCGAGAUGGGUGGAUCACCUGAGGUCAGGAGUUCAGGACCAGCCUGGCCAACAUGGUGAACACCUGUCUCUA